rnacentral:rRNA from 1 species
GACGGAAGGUGCAAGCGUUGCUCGGAAUCACUGGGCUUAAAGGGUGCGUAGGCGGCUGCCUAAGUCAGGUGUGAAAUCUCCCGGCUCAACCGGGAACUGCGUUCGAUACUGGACGGCUAGAGUCUGGUAGGGGGAUCUGGAAUUCCUGGUGUGAGCGGUGGGAAUGCGCAGAUAUCAGGAGGAACACCGGUGGCGAAGGCGGGUCUCUGGGCCGAUACUGACGCUGAGGAGCGAAAGCGUGGGGAGCAAACAGG